GGCCGCCUGGCGUAAUGGGCACGCGUCUGACUACGAAUCAGAGAUGCAGGUUCCGACCCCUGCGGUGGUCA
rnacentral:tRNA from 1 species